rnacentral:lncRNA from 1 species
GCCUCCACUUAUAUAAUAUAUUGUACUACCCAAAUUCUGAAUAAGUAAAAGAUCUCUCCGAAAAAUACAUAUGCAUGUUUUAUUCAAAAGGUAAGGAAUGAUGCGUCAUCAUCCCUAAUACACUUUAUUAUAGUAGUAGCAUCAAUUGAGGCAGAGAAGUUAAUUAGAUGCUGUCCUUAAUGGAUGCACUAUAACCGUUGUCAUAGAACCUGUUCCAAAGCAUAACUCCUCCGUACUUGGGCGAAUUCUUAAUCGUUGGAAGAACUUGUGACUUGAGAGCGUCAGCAGGAAUAAAUCCGCCGCUCGGAGCGGCCUCAGGAGCUGCCGGUAACCCCAUGAACACCUGGGUGGCCGGAACCGAGGCCCAUUGGUUCCAACUGCUCAAAAGAGCGUCGGCAUUACCGUCCGCAUACUGGCAUUGGGGGUUGUUGUAGAACUGGACCCAAACGUAGUCAAAUAAACCGGUUUGGAUAGCGCCGUCUAGGUGAGCAUCCGGGAUCGGACAUUGUGGAGCUGCGGCUAAAUAGACCGUUUUUGCCUGUCCGUUGUGUCCGUUGAGUGACUUGGCGAGCUCAUCAUAGAACUGCGCACCACCCGCCUCAAUGUCGAAAUCAACGCCGUCCAAAACCGCGUCCCCAAGCGGGCGCGAAGCUGACUGACCACCUAAGAAGUUGUUCCAGAUGUAAUCAGCAACUUGCCUUGCAUCAUCAGCUGAAGUGAGAGAGUAACUUCCGGCGGCCCCUCCAAUCGAGAGGAGGACUUUUAUGUUUUUUGAUUGGCAGGUUCUGAUGUCGGCACUCAGCCCGGUGCAAGUACCACUAGCGGGGUCGCAGUGGCCGGCGAGGUUUAGGACAGGGGUUUGGUUGUUUCCGAAAGUAGUGAGGAAAGCUAUGUUAACAAACUGGUAGUUGCCUGAGUUGCAAGCAUCUGCUAGGGUUCCUUCGUUUCCGUUUUGGCCCCAAUAGACCGCAAUUCCGGCGGCUUGGGAGGACUUGCAUGAAGAAAUGAGGAUCAAGAGGGACAGCGUUAGGGCUAGGGUUUGUGUUUUGGAUGCCAUUUUUAUAUGUUUUUUUGGGUUGUUGUUCAAAGUGCUUGGGAGUGGACAUGUACUUAUAGGUGCAGGGGACUUAUCGGUUAAGGUUUAGGGGAAGAAAAGUAUGACAGACGUGUUCUGCAGGUAAGAGUCUUCUGCUUGCAACCGCGUCAAUCACGUUAGGGCCUGUUUAUUUAGUCCAAGUUUCACUUUACAACUUAGAACACGUCAAUUAAAUUAGGUCGGGUUGAAAAUGCAUUUUCCAAAACCACUUUCACACAUAAGCGCUUCUUAUAUUUUCAUAAAAAUGCAAGUGGUUUUAUAAAAAAAAAAACUUGAGGUGUUUGGCGUGUGUUUUUUCAGAAAGCACUUAAAAUAUUUUUUCAACCUAAAAUCACUGAAUUUUUUAUGAUUUCAAAGUUCUUUUAAUUGUUUUGAAGGCACUUCCAACUGAUAUUUUAUAAAAAAUUACUUCUAGAGAGAAUUAUAGCAUGCUAAUUGAGAGAUUCCGAAACUAAAAAGCCAUCAAAUUUGCCAAAAAAAAAAUCUGAUGAGACAAUACGUGGAGAAUCAACACAGCUGUAUCAUCACCAAAAAUUUUCAGUGUGCAGAAAUACAGUCCGGUACAAAGUGUUAUAAUAAAAUUGGUUGAUUUUUUUUUUUAAGUUUCCAACUAAUUAUAUUAUUACACUUGAUGUACCGAUCCGUAUUUCUGAAAAAUCUCUCCUUACCAUCACAUCACAUGAAUGUUUUGGAAAGUUCGUAGAUAGAAACCAAAAUCUCUCCUUAUCAUCACAUCACAUCACAUGAACGUUUGGGAAGCUCGUCGAUAGAAACCAAAUGGAAUAUGCUUUUAGCUGAGGAUGGCCAUUGGCCAGGGACUUCGGUCUAAUCACGAUGCUUUAAUUUCGCAGUCGGAAAAAAACUUUCGAAUAAAAUUUAGGGUAUAUUUAGGAAGUGUUUUUAAAUGAUUGAAAACAUUUUUAGAAAUAUUUUUUUUUAAAAACGUUUCCAGUCAUUUAAAAAAACUUCUUAAACGAGUUUAAUUACUUGUGUAUGGGGCAACAUUUAGCUAGUAAUGGUUCUCAUGAAUUGGAUUGUGGUGAUGUGAAAAUGGGUUUGGGUUAGUUUAGUUUAGAGUUUAUAUUUACUAUCCGGUGCAUGCAAAUGGAAUGUCAAAUCUUUCAGAGAAAUUUUGAUAGAACUGCCACUUAGGGCAACACAUAUUAAACAAACAAAUGUAGGGUUGGAGAAGACUAAAAUACAUGAAUUCUCGUGUUUUCAUAAAUGUGAUCUAAAAAUAAUAUAGCAUGUGCCCUGAGAACAACGUGAUCAGUACCUAAUCGAAGUUCUCUAGUGUGGAAAGAUUCAAGAGGGGUGUGACGCUUCCGACAAAUAAAAAAUCACACAUUUUCGAAUUCGGAAAUGUAUAGAACAGAGCAGAUAUCACUAGAUGAAUGUUAACUGUUUUACAGAAAAUUUAUAAGACAAUUAGAGUUAAACAACAGAAGCUUGCACUUUAAAUGGUUAUGUCCAGCUGCUUUUGGUAUGUAUAUGCUUUUUCCAUGUCUCGAUGUAGUUCCAGUUCACUGCUCAUCAUCCUGGAACAAUGCUUUCGAAACAGAGCCGCACGGCUGGCUACUGUAUUCUCGGUAAUCUUCAUCGUCAUCACAGCUGCGUUGCGAGCAUGAACGUUUGAUUCCUGUCAUUGGGGUUUCACAGACUCUGUCAUCGCAUGAACCUCUAUGAUCCUUCCUUUUAAACAGCUUUCGAAGCGGAUUUGACUUUGGUUUCAAUGGUUUCAGCCGUUUGGGGGCCCAAACUCUCUGCAGAUCGGGCAUCCAUCUUGUGGAUGAAGCGAAUCUCCAAGCCCUCUCUCUCCUCUCUUGAGCUUCAAGUAACUUGCGAGCAUGGUCGUCCUAUUGUUUGAUCUCUUCGACGCUUGGUCUUCCAAUAUCAGUUUUCAGCGGACGAAGAGACUCACCUUCUGCUUGUAAUGAGUCCCAGAUUCUAUAACUUCCAUCCACUUCGACACUCUUCGGUUUUUCUUUACAGGAUCGAUUGCUAUCCUCACUGUUGAGUAAACUAUUAGGGAGUUCUUCCUCAUCAGCAAACAGUAACAAAUCCAUUUUCGUAUAGAUUUUGUGAACCACAUCUUCAAGUGUCUCACAGUACCUGAAAAAUGUCCAAAUUCAGGCUCUUGACAAUUUGACAAAGCAUUUCAUUGAAAAGGUUCAAUCCUUACUACCAUUAUAAUUUAUAAUGUGUUGUAUGGUUUACCUCGUAAUGGUGCUAAGUUAUUUCUACAGUUUUGGGGCAUUUUUUUUGCAGUUUCGGUGCAAUUUUGAUGCAGUUCUUUUUUUUUGCAAUUUUGCUGCAUUGUUGUUGCUGUUUUUGCUGCAUGUUCAUUGAUUAAUAAAAAGGUCGUACCCAGUGCACAAGGCUCCCUUGAUUAAUAUAUGAGAAAAAUAAGACUGUCAUAUGCUUAAAUAGGUGUAUAUUUUAAAUUAUACAUUUUUUUUUCAAAAAUCGAACCGAAACUGUUUGAAACCGUACCGCACCAAACCAAACGGUUUGGUUUCAUUUCAGUUUUGGCUUCAAAACUGCACCGAACCGCACCGCAAAAAAAUUUGGUUUCGGUUGCGGUUUCACUCGAAACCGCACCGAAGCGCACCGCGCCCACCCCUACAGGGGACUUGUCGAUGAAGGUUUAGGGGAAGAGAAGUAUGACAGACGUGUCUUGCGGGUACAAAAUGGGUGCCAGUCUUCUGCAUGCAUGGAACCGCGUGAACCAAGUUAGGGCCUGUUUAGUCCAAGUUUCACUUGACAACUUAGAAAUUUGUCAAUUAAGUUAGGUCGUGUUGGAAAUUCUUUUUUCAAAAACCACUCAUAAGUGCUUUUAAUAUUUUUCGUAAGAAUGCAAGCGUUUUUAGAAAACACACUCAAGGUGCUUAGCGUGUGCUUUUUUUUAGAAAGCACUUUUAAGUGUUUUUUCAACCUAAAAACACUUGUUUUAAAGACACUUCCAACAAACACAUAAUUAAUGGAAAAUUACUUCCAGAGAGAAAUAUAGCAUGCUAUUUGAGAGAUUCCAAAACUAAAAGCUAAAUAGUUAUUAAGCGUGACCUUAACCAAGGUGAAAUAAAAUAUCAAAUUUGACAAACAAUCUGAUGAACGUCAUAGCUAUAUGUAUAGUCAGUAGAUGAGAUAAUCAUGAAACAAAACGUGGAGAAUCAACACAGCCUUAUCAUGGCCAAAAUUUGUCUGUGUGCCAGAACCACGGCCUAGUACACUAAAAGUGUCAUAAUAGAAUUGGUUGGAAAUUCAUUCGGUUACAACUGACUCUGAAGUCUUUAUUUCUGCACAACCACAUAGUGAGAUGUUUGCUUACCAUGCAACCAUGAUGUCCAAUACUCUUGGUACCUCAAUCGUUGUCUUUACCAAAACUGGUUUUAUGGCUAUUCUAUUGAGCCAUUACCGACCUACCGGGAUCAUAUUUGCCUUCACGAAUGAGUGAGUUUUCAAUUUACCUGUCACAAAGGCAUUUAGUUAAAAUUUGUAACUGUAUCAGUCAAAAUAUGCUGUGAAAGUUCUAUUCAUUAGCAAGUACUUUGAUUGCCAUGCAGUAAGAGCAUACAACGGAGAUUGGCUUUGUAUCAAGGCGUAUGUCCAAUAUAUACAUGGAGUUCACAGAAGAUUCUGAAACAAGCUUUAGCAAUGCCUUGACUGUGCUGAAGGUGAUGUUUUGCUGCAGAUUUCCUAAAUUUAUGGCGACGUAUGCUAUUCAACCAUGCCAGCACUGAUGGUUCAUUUUCUGUUGUUCUGUUUGCAGGAGCAAGGAUUGGUAAAGGCAGGAGAAGAGGUCGCACUCGUUCAAAGUGGCAGGCAACCCAUUUGGCGGCUCCAAUCCACUCACAAAAUUCAAGUGCGCAAAAUUUAGGUGCAACGGAGAUGGAAUAAUCGCCCUCGUAACAUAGAUUUCUUCGUCUACACUACAAAAGUUUCAAAUGAUAGCUUUUGUGUUGUACUUCCAGCGGAAUUGUCGUGAUACUUUCUUCCUUUGGUUGUUUUUUUUCUUCUGUUGCACACUUUUGUGAUCCUAUCAAUGUGCUUCUUUUUGUUUCCGAUUUCCCCCUAGUUAAUUUUGGCGUAUGUUUUAGAACUGUAAGUUGUUAAAGUAUAAAUUUGGCAGUUUGAAUGCAAACUGUCUAAAUUUUUUUAAUAGUUCGAUUGAGGAAACAGAUCGUCACACUCACAUUCUAAUAUCCGCCGCUUACCGUUUGUCGUGUGGCCGUUUAACACUGACUAAGGUAGAUCUCACAUCAGAUCAGCACGGGACUAGGUUCCGUGCUCUUGUGAAAGUUAUUCUACGUACGACGUGAUUCUACACAUGGUUUGUGGUUUGGGCUUGAACCGGUCUCUACGAAAUGAGGCAGAUUUUUUGUUUAUUAACAAAGGUCAAAAGUCAAACAAAAAUUGUUGAUACAGACUAUCUUAAACAAAAUUAAACAACAUUCGCUUGAAUAAUUAUCAAAUUGACAAUGUCUCAUAGGUGAUGCUGUCCAUACACUCUUUUUAUUUUUCACUCACUCCUCCCAAUUUUUAACCGUCAGAUCGAAUAAAUUAAAGAUGAUCAAAAGACAAAAAUUAACUGAAGAUAUGUGAAAGAAAAAACAAAAUGUAUAUAUAGCAUCACCUAUCUUAUUAGGAUAAUGACAUCCGAUUUAUUUGAUAUAAUCUUUUAGGGAAACCAAAACGUUGAGUUACAAAAGUCAAACUCUUCCGAUGAUGGAAUAACUAUAUCCAUUUUUAUCAUCACAAAACUCGGACCCUAACAUCACACCACCAUACUUCGACGACUUCUUUAUCACCAGUAGAAUUUCCGAAUUCAGCAAAGCAGCCACAAUAUACCCACUUCUGGCCACCUCAGGAGUGGCCGGCAACCCCAAAAACAUCUUCCCUUUCUAAUACAUUAAUGAUGUCAGUUGGCGUCUUAACAAGAUGGGAGACUUUGGAGUCGCUUUAUUGGGAUCUCCCGAGUACUCGGUACUCUAUGUAUUUUAACCGUUAAAUCUUUGUUUAAAAAUAUAAAAAUCAAAUUCUAACAGUUAAAAUAUUCAAAAUAUCCAUAGUACCGCUCGAAAUUUUUUGAGACAUUAAAUGCAAUCCCUCCAAGAAAUCAUCUCAAAUUUUUUUGAGACAUUAAAUGCGAUCUCUCCAAGAAAUUAUUAGAUUAUACCGUAGUACCAUCUCAGCCGUGGUAGUUUCAUCCAAAGGCUAGCCUUUACAAUAUGAGCUAGCCAGCCUUCAUGCACACAGUGCCUGCCAAUCAUGUAAAACCAUUGACAAUGAUACAUGACAAUUUAUUUGGACCUAUAACUUCAUUUCAUAACUACAUCAGAUAACCGUUUAUGUGCAACUAUAUUUUAUUCAAUUUCAAAAAUUAGCAUAUGCAAUGACAUGUUUUAUCGUAAAAAGUACAAGAAAUUUUCAACGUAUCACAAAUACAAAGUGUUAUACCACAUGUCAUUAUAUAAAGAGAAAUUUUUUAUAUUUUAAGUCUGUCUCCACUUAUAUAAUAUGUGUUGUACCAUCCGAAUUCCGGAUCAGUAAAAGAUCUCUCCAAAAAUACAUAUGCAUGUUUUAUUCAAAAGGUUAGGAAUGAUGCGUCAUCAUCCCUAACGCACUUUAUUAUAAGUAGUAUCAUCCAUUGAGGCAGAGAAGUUAAUUAGAUGCUGUCCUUAAUGGAUGCACUAUAGCCGUUGACAAUGUCAUACUGCCUGCCCCAGAGCAUAAUUCCUCCGUACUUGGGCGAUUUCUUAAUCGUUGGAAGAACUUGUGACUUGAGAGCGUCAGCAGGAAUAAAUCCGCCGCCCGGAGCGGCCUCAGGAGCUGCCGGUAUACCCAAGAACACCUGGGUGGCCGGAACCGAGGCCCAUUGGUUCCAACUGCUCAAAAGAGCGUCGGCAUUACCGUCUGCAUACUGGCAUGGGGGGUUGUUGUAGAACUGAACCCAAACGUAGUCAAAUAAACCGGUUUGGAUAGCGCCGUCUAGGUGAGCAUCCGGGAUCGGACAUUGUGGAGCUGCGGCUAAAUAGACCGUUUUUGCCUGUCCGUUGUGUCCGUUGAGUGACCUGGCGAGCUCAUCAUAGAACUGCGCACCACCCGCCUCAAUGUCGAAAUCAACGCCGUCCAAAACCGCGUCCCCAAGCGGGCGCGAAGCGGACUGACCACCUAAGAAGUUGUUCCAGAUGUAAUCAGCAACUUGCCUUGCAUCAUCAGCUGAAGUGAGAGAGUAACUUCCGGCGGCCCCUCCAAUCGAGAGGAGGACUUUUAUGUUUUUUGAUUGGCAGGUUCUGAUGUCGGCACUCAGCCCCGUGCAAGUACCACUAGAGGGGUCGCAGUGGCCGGCGAGGUUUAGGACAGGGGUUUGGUUGUUUCCGAAAGUAGUGAGGAAAGCUAUGUUAACAAACUGGUAGUUGCCUGAGUUGCAAGCAUCUGCUAGGGUUCCUUCAUUGCCGUUUUGGCCCCAAUACGUCGCGAUUCCGGCGGCUUGGGAGGACUUGCAUGAAGAAAUGAGGAUCAAGAGGGACAGCGUUAGGGCUAGGGUUUGUGUUUUGGAUGCCAUUUUUGUAUGUUUUUUUGGGUUGUUGUUCAAAGUGCUUGGGAGUGGACUUGUACUUAUAGGUGCAGGGGACUUAUCCGUUAAGGUUUAGGGGAAGAAAAGUAUGACAGACGUGUUCUGCGGGUUAGAAAUGGGUGCCAGUCUUCAGCUUGGAACCUCGUCAAUCAAGUUAGCUAGGGCCUGUUUAGUCCAAGAAGUUUCACAUAAAACGCCGAUUAAGUUAGGUCGGGUUGGAAAUGCUUUCUUCAAAAACUACUUACACACGUAAGCGCUUCUUAUAUUUUUCAUAAGAAUGCAAGUGCUUUUGAAAAAAAACACUUGAGCUGUUUCGUGUGUUUUUUUCAGAAAAUACUUUAAAUGUUUUUUCAAACUAAAAAUCCAUUAAAGCUCCUUUACUUGUUUAAGGGCACUUCCAAAAUCAUAUUUAAAGAAAAAUUACUUCUAGAGAGAAUUAUAACAUGCUAAUUGAGAGAUCCCGAAACUAGAAACUAGAUAGUUAUAAUGAAGCGUGACCUUAACUGCUUAAUUAAGUGAAAAAAGCCAUCAAAUUUGACAAAAAGUCUGAUGAAAGGUCAUAGCUGUAUCAUCUGUAGAUGAGAUAAUCAUGAAACAAUGUGGGGAAUCAACACAUCCUUAUCAUCGUCAAAAAAAAAAAUUCACUGUGCUGGAAGCACGUUCAAUUGAACGUUUUGGAAGUUUGUGGAUAGAAACCAAAUGGAAUAUGCUUGUAACCAAAAUUGCUGGCUGCUAUAUACAUCUUGGAUUUUAGCUGAGGUGGCCAUUGGCCAAGGACUUUGGUCUAAUCACGAUGCUUUAAUUUCGCAAUCCAAAAAAAAAAUUCAGAUAAAAUUUAGAACACGUUUUGGGAGUGCUUUCAAAUUACUGAAAGCGAUUUUAGAAAGAAAAAAAAUGUUUAUAUAACUAAUCUUUAAUAAAAAUGCAAGUUAAUCCUCCAAAAGUACUGAAACUAGUGCUUCUUUGAUAAAACACUUCAAGUGCUUUUGGAGCUCAAAAAUAUUAUCUCAAGUGGUUUCAGUCAUUUAAAAACACUUUCUAAACGAGUUAAUGACUCGUGUAUGGGGCAACAUUUAGCAAGUAACGGCUCUCAUGAAUUGGAUUGUGGUGAUGUGAAAAUGGGUUUGGGUAAGUUUAGUUUAGACCAGUCAGCAGUGUUUAAAAUAUCCACGACAUUAUCGAUAUUUUCGUUGAAAUAUCCUUAAAAUUAAGGGUCCAUAAGCAAAAGAAGGAUGAAAUGCAAACUUCACCCUAUAUCGGCAAGAUACAAGAAAACAAUGAAUAUAGACAAUAUGUAACAACUCGUCCCAAGAUUUACUGUAUAUAAAUGGUAUUUUUGUAUUUUCAUCAAGUUUGGGAAUUUAUCUUCCUUUUAAAAUUUGUUUUUGGUCUUAAAUGGUGAUCCAAGGGGACCCACUCCCCUGAUUUUGUCCCCGAGCCCUCUUCUCUCUUUCUUCCUCUCCUCUUCCCUUUCCCCUUUCCCGUAUACUUCUAUUCCUCUCUUCUCUAUGAUCACACUCACACCCAGCUGCACUCCCUGCUCGAGGAAGACGCAAUCACCAUCUAAACCACGUCCCUUUCCUCUUCCUCUUGCCUCUGUGCAACUCGGCGAAACCAAGAAAAUAACCUCCGGCAAGUCCGACGGCUUUCGAAGCCAUUUCCUGCCAAACCACGGCGCGUUGGCCGGCGUGCAAGGUAUCAAUCUCUUCGUCCCGUCAAGUACUAUAACUUUUCUUUUUGUUUCACUCAAUUUAAUUGAGUAUUGAAGAAGUUAUACUCAUUUGAAUCUUACCCAGUUUCCGGCGACCUCCGAGGCUUUCGAGGAAAUUUCAGGCCAAACCAUGGCGAGUCAGACGUGAGGUAUCAUUCUCUUCGUCUCUUCCAGGACUACAACUUUCGUUUUUGUCUCGCUUGAUUUCGUUGAGUAGUGACAAAGUUAUGGCUGUUUAAAGUGGGGUGGUUUUCCGGCCGAAUUUCCGGCCUUCUUCUUCCUUGGCAACAGGCCACCCGGCCUUUCCCUCUCCCUCGGACCUUAGGCCCGUGUUGUCUUAAGCCCAAAACCCUAGCCUUUAGUUUUAAGUUUUAUUAUUUGGUUUUAAAACCCUAAAAAGGGCCUUGGGCCGGUGGUUUUUAAAAAGGGCUUAAAGCCCUGUUUUUCUUUAUUUAUUUUUAUUAAGGCCUUAAGGCCUUGUGAUUUUGUGCCCGUGGGUGUGUGUGUUAGGUGUGUAUGUGUUUAUGCAUGCACAUGCAUGCCGUGUGUGUGUGUGUAUUUGUAGUAUGUGUGUGUUUGGGCUAAAGCCCAAACCCCAAUUCUCACCCUAAAACCAUUUUAACCCAAAAUCCUAGGUUCCUAAAAUCCUUUAAAACCCUAAACCCAUCCAAUCCCAAAUCCCCUAUUUUAUUUAAACCUAAACCCUAAUCCGGAUUUCAAGCCUAAAACCCAUUUGACCGUUGACCCCCGGUCAACGUUGAUUUUAGGGUUGACUUUUCGGGUUUUCGUCCGGGACCCUUCUUAGGGUAAUUCGACGUUCUAAAUCCGUUUCCAAUGUCCAUUUUCCCAAAUUCAAUUGUUAUUAUAUAGUUUUAUUUAUUGGACUCUUUAUGUGCUUAGGGGCAAUUAUUGUGACGUUUCCAUCUUCGCUAGUGGCACAGCUUUUGGCAACUAAGUAUUGUGAGUGGACCCCUUCUAGAAUUACAUGAUUUGAUAAUUUAAUUGCAUAAAUGAUUAGCAUGCCUACGAAUUUAUGAUUUGAUUUAUGUGAAGCCUGAUGAUUUAAUAUAUUGAUUAUCGUCUCGGGUUUUGGUGAGGAAUUAUUUGUUAGCCUAUAUUGAGCUAUAUUUUAAUAUAUCGUAUUUUCUAUUAAAACCAUGAACUGGUAGACUAUCUGAUAGAUGACGAUAGGAUGCUAGAACAUGUUUUUGAACCCCUCUUUAUAGUGUAGACGAUGAUCGGUAACCUAUGCUAUGAAGUGGUUUUUUUUAGAGAGACGUAACUAUUUGUGCGUACCUAGUAGACACUAUGCCGCCUGGGGCAAGGAACUGGUGUUGGCAUUUAGGCCGGGAGAAAUAAUCCCUAGCGAAAGGCUGAGGGACACGGAGACAGGCAGUGGGCCAAGAGGGAGUUAUCUCUGGCUACGGGCACAGAGACUGAGGUGCAAGCAUUGGGCCGGGAGUUAUAUUUAUUCAGUGAUCUUUCUAGCAGCACACUGCGUUUACGAGACGAUUUAUGAUGCGUUUACUGUUUUGAUUUCCGCGAUGUUUUUCCGCGUUAUGGCGUUUGAGAUAUUUUUGGCAUACUAGGAUUUUUAUUAAAUCCAUCACUUAUUAUGCUAGUAGUUUUCAUUUAUAUAAACUUUGGGGGUUAGUAUGUUGAUAAUUGUUUUAUUAUUAUUGUAUAUAUAAACUUGGUCCACUCACCUUUGUUUUGCGCCCCCAUUCAGGACUUAGAAUCAAGGCACCUAAUCCCGGCGUGAAGACACUUUCGCAGCAGCAUCUUCGGAUCCUCUCGAUGUAGGACUCACUCCUUUACUCAUUAAAUUUUAUCUUAAUUCUUUUUAGUGAUUAGAUUUAGUUGUAUGCUCUGAGCACGUUCCUAAAACUUUUAACUCUUAGUUUUUAAAUUCAUAACACUUACUUAUUUCUUAUUCUUAGCUUUUGUAUCAAUUAAUGGCUUUCGUCACCCUCGGGUGUCGGCCAGCAUGUGUCUUCCUGGUAUUCGGGGAAUAUCAGGGUCGGGGCGUGUCACAAUAUUUACGGAUUAAUUACAAAAUUUUGCUAAUACCUAUUGCAGAUUUCGAACUGUAGAAUUUUUUUUAUAAAUUUUUUCUUUAAUUUCAACUAAAUCUGAAUGAGUACUUACCCCAUUGUAAAUUUCCAUCGAAGACUUUCCAACUAUAUCGAUAUUUUAAACACUGGUUUAGACCAACAUGUUUAAUAUCCAGUGCAUGCAAAUAGAAUGUCAAAUCUUUUUGAAAAACUUCAGUAUGACUGCCACUUAAGGGCAACUAGCAUAUUAAAGAGACCAAUGCAAAGUUGGAUGAGACUAAAAUACAUAAAGUCUCAUGUUUUGGUGAGAUGUGGUUUACAAAUGAUAUAGCAUGUGCCCUACGAAAAACGAGAUCGGAUUACCUAAUUGAAGUUUCUCUAGCAUGAAAAAUUCAAGAGGGAUGUGACGGUUCCGGAAAGUAAAAAAUCACACAUUUUUAUUAAUAAUUUUUUUGUUCGAAUUCGGAAAUGUAUAGAACUGAACAAAUGGAAUAGUGGCUCAGUGAUACCAACAAUUUCAUGUUGCAAAUUACAAAAAAAAAAAAAAAAAAAAAAAAAAAAGGAAAUGUUUUACACAAAAUUAAUGACAAUUAGAGUUAAACAACAGAAACUUGCACUUUAAAUGGUUUUUUUCUGCUGCUUUUGGUAUGUAUAUGCUUUUUCCGCACCGCUGGCUACUGUAUUCUCGGUAAUUUUCAUCGUCAUCCCAGCUGCGUUGCGAGCAUGAACGUUUGAUUCCUGUCAUUGGGGUUUCACAUACUCUGUCAUCACAUGAACCUCCAUGAUCCUUCCUUUUAAACAGCUUUCGAAGUGGAUUUGACUUUGGUUUCAAUGGUUUCAGCUGUUUUGGGGCCCAAAUUCUCUGCAGAUCGGGCAUCCAUCUUGUGGAGUAAGCGAACCUCCGAGCCCUCUCUCUCCUCUCUUGAACUUCAAGUAACUUGCGAGCAUGGUCGUCCUUUUGUUUGAUCUCUUCAGCGCUCGGUCUUCCAAUAUCAGUUUUCAGCGGACGAAGAGACUCACCUACUGCUGGUAAUGAAUCCCAGAUUCUAUAACUUCCAUCCACUUCGACACUCUUCGGUUUUUCUUUACAGGAUCGAUUGCUAUCCUAACUGUUGAGUAAACUAUUAGGGAGUUCUUCCUCAUCAGCAAACAGCAACAAAUCCAUUUUCUUAUAGAUUUUGCGAACCACAUCUUCAAGUGUCUCACAGUACCUGAAAAAUUCCAAAUUCAAAGAUUAAUCUAUCUGCUUAAGUUAAUUUUCCAUCUCAAACAAAAAUUGAUUGCCCGCACAUGUACUUCCGGAAAACUAAUUCCAGGAACGGAUUAUUUAAGCAACAUCGUUUCUUCAAGGAUCAUACUGUAGACAUACACUAUUGGCACAUUGCAAAAGUUGUAUAAACAUAUUCCACACUCGUUCAGAAAAACAUGGGUACGAUGUGCGCAUAACUGGCCUAUAUCCUGUCAAUCUACACUGAUAAGGAAAGACACUUUAACUCAUCUAAGAUUAUAAAGACAACCACUUUCCUUAUUUAGCAUUGUUGCAAAGGUAAGUAGGACAUGAUUUGUUAGAUAGGUAGUAAUAUCCCACAUGAAAGUGGAACACAGUGGCACCGGAAAUGUGUAUUUGUUGAGACAUGAACGAUAGACUGAAUGCAGCGUGUGCUAUAUAGCCUUUCAGCGAAAGCCAUAAUGCCUCAGUAAAACAUCCAUUAUAUAAAGUAAAGAAUAAUUUCAAGGGUAGGGGUUUUCAACUGUGGUACAGAUUUAUUACCUGCUUUUUAUGAUCUUUUCAACAUAAUCAUACACUCCAGUCACCAAAGAAGCCCUCCAGAUGACAUCGAAUUUUCUCCAAAAAGGAGCAAAUCUGUUUUACAGACUUCUGUUUUGUAGAUUCAGCAAUACGUGCACCAACCUCUGAUUGUAGUAUCUCCAUCCGGAAAAAUAUCUGCAAUUCAUAUCGUGCACGAGCUGGCGCAAGGAGGCGGCGAAGCACGAAGCCCGGGGCGGCGAUGCCGGGUCGAGGCGAAAUGCGGGGAGGGAAUUGAGGGUUUGGGAGAGGGAAUUGAAAGUGGGGCCGGGGAGGUGGAAAGAGAGGGAGAGAGAAGUGGGGAGCUUGGAGGAGGAGAGCAGCGGAGAGAGGGAGGAGAAGAAGGGUCUGAAGGCGAAGAGAGAGGCGGAGAGAGGAGGGAAAGAGAGGAUGGUUUUGACGGCGGCGAGGAAGGCUGUGAGAAAUGGAGCUGGGUUUUGGAGGUGGAGGAGUGGGUUGAGGCCUAGGAGGAGGACGAUGCGCUGCGUUUUGCCGUAGUCGGCGAUUGGGUCGCCGGAGCUCCGUUCAGAUGCCAUCGCAUUUGCAGGAGGAGAAAGAGACGGACUUGGGUUGCAGAGAAGGGAGAUGCAAAUGUGGAAUUAAGGAACAGUAAACCGAAUACGCAGUCGUUUUAGUAGAAAAACGACGAUACGGUAGAUGCUUGAGCGGGAAACCAAAUUUUGGCUGUAAAGGAAAUGUUUUAGGCCCCGUUUGGGAUUGAGGUGAUUUUAAAAAAAGCCACUGUGAAAAAAAGCUGAGGGUCAUUUUUGUGUUUGGUAAACUGAAAAAAGGGCUUAUUUUGGAAGCUGCUGUGAAAAUAAGCUGAAAAUCAAAGGAAAAGCUGAAGCUGCUAUUUGCUGCUUUGAAAAAAAGCCAGUUUUUUCAAAGCACACAGAGCUACAAUGCUCCUUUAAUGAAAAGACACACUAUCAUCCUGAUUUUUUUUCCAAAAGCACUUUCACAAAAAAGUUUACCAAACACUCUACUGCUUUAUUUCACAGCCGCUUAUUCUCACAGCACAGCCGCUUAUUCUCACAGCAGCUUUUUUUCAAAGCACAGCAAUACCAAACCAGCCCUUAAUCUCAUGAAGGACCUGUUUGGACUGCAUCUAAAUUUGUUAAAAGCGCUUUUAGAGAACAAAAGAGCUUUUGACAUCAGUUGAAAAAAAAAAAAUAUUUAAAGUACUUCUUCACGUGAAAAAAACACAUGGUUUUUAAUGAAAAUUCCAACAUGAUUUGAAUGAAAGUGCUUUCAAAAAGUAUUAUGAAUAGAUAUGCUUUUUUAUAUGCUUCUAUGAAAAGUGCUUUUUGCAAACAAUGUCGGGCUCGUUUGUAAUUACUUUUAAAAUGGUUGAAAGUGUAUUUCGUAAAAAUAUUUUUAGAAACAAUAUUUAGUAAAAUGCAAGUGAAUCCUAAAAAAAACACUUCAAGAAUAGAACAACCAAAGGGGCGAAAACUGUAAACCUCAUAGCAACCGAAUUACAAUUCGAGAACAUACCCGUUACUGAAUCCCAAAUCGCUGGUUCCCAAGUGUAGUCAUGCACAAGCUCGUUUAGAACCAAUAUUUUCUCUAAGAACGAUUUCAAUCAUUUGAAAAACAUUUUUAAACGAACUGAUGUUUUUAGGAGAAACACAAUGAGGAGCAAAUGAUUCCUAGGCGAGAAGAAAAACUAGACAGAAUGUUAAAUAGCACAUUAUGUACCAAUUUUUCUUCAACAAAUUGGAACUACUGAGAAGUUUGGAAACUAAAAAGUAAAGAUUGAUUCUAAGGAUUCUAACCCUGAUGAUUGCUUAUACAGUCGAACUACUUGAAUAGACUGGACUACCGAAGAUAAACUCAUACAUAUACGAAUUAUUAAAAAGUGAAAGAGGCUCAUCUCAGUUUUUUUUUUUUUUUUUAGUUGAAAGAAAAAAAAGGUAAAACAUGGAGAAGAUCAUGAACAGUAAUGGGUUUUAGUAUAUAUAAAUAUAAUUUGUAACUGUAUCUGUCCAAAUAUGCCGUGCAAGUUCUAUUCAUUAGCAGGUACUUUGAUUGCCAUGCAGUAAGAGCAUACAACGGAGAUUGGCUUUGUAUCAAGGCGUACGUCCCAUACACCUCUUUUAUGGGUGAUGCUGUCCACACACUUCUUUUAAUUACCAGUCGUCAUAUAGAAUGAAUUCAAGAGGAUCAAAUGACUAAAAUUAACAGAGAAUAUGUAAAAGAUAAACCAGAGUGUAUGGAUAACACCACCCUAUCUUAUUAGGAUAAUAACAUCCGAUGUGUUUGAUAUAAUCUUUUAGGGACUAACCAAAACAUUGAGUUACAAAAGUCAAACACUUCCGAUGAUGGAAGAACUAUAUCCACUUCUAUCGUCACAAAACUUGGACAAUAACAUCACACCACCAUACUUUGACGACUUCUUUAUCACCGGCAGAAUUUCCGAAUUCAACAAAGCAGCCGGAACAUACCCACUCUUGGCCGCCUUAGGAGCCGCCAGCAACCCCAAAAACAUCUUCCCUGUCUAAUACAAUGAUGUCACUUGGCGUCUUAACAAGAUGGGAGACUUUGGAGGGACUUUAUUGAGUACUCCAGAGUACUCAGUACUCUCAUUUGUUUAAAAAUAUAAAAAUCAAAAUCUAACGAUUAAAACAUCUAGAGUAUCCAUAUAUAGUACUGCUCAAAACUUUUUGAGACAUUGGACGUGAUCCCUCCUAGAAAUUAUUAAGUUAUACAGUAGUACACUUCAGCCGUGAUACUUUCAUUCAAAGGCUAGCUUUAUACUAAUAUGUGAUACUUUCAUUCCAUAUUUGAGAGCCAUUGGAUAAGUAUAAAGCUAACCUUUACAAUAUGAGCUAGUUAGUUAGCCUUCACACACACAGUGCCUGCCUAUCAUGUAACCAUUGACAAUGAUACCCGACAAUUUAUUUGGAGAGAGGGUCCUCACUCAUUUAUUUGGACCUAUAACUUCAUUUCAUAAUAACUCCAUCACAUCAUUUUAUGUACCAUAGUUUAUUCAAUUUCAAAAAUUAGUACACGCAAUAACAUGUUUUAUCGUAAAAUAUACGAGGUUUUUUAGUAUAUUAGAAAUACGAGAUGAUGCACCACAUGUCAUUAUAUAAAUGAAGAGAAAUUUUUUUUUUUUUUAAAUGUGCCUCCACUUAUAUAAUGUAUUGUACCACCCAAAUUCUGAAUAAGUGAAAGAUCUCUCCAAAAAAUACAUAUGCAUGUUUUAUUCAAAAGGUAAGGAAUGAUGCGUCAUCAUCCCUAACACACUUUAUUAUAGUAGUAGCAUCAAUUGAGGCAGAGAAGUUAAUUAGAUGCUGUCCUUAAUGGAUGCACUAUAACCGUUGUCAUAGAACCUGCUCCAAAGCAUAACUCCUCCGUACUUGGGCGAAUUCUUAAUCGUUGGAAGAACUUGUGACUUGAGAGCGUCAGCAGGAAUAAAUCCGCCGCUUGGAGCGGCCUCAGGAGCUGCCGGUAACCCCAUGAACACCUGGGUGGCCGGAACCGAGGCCCAUUGGUUCCAACUGCUUAAAAGAGCGUCGGCAUUACCGUCUGCAUACUGGCAUGGGGGGUUGUUGUAGAACUGAACCCAAACGUAGUCAAAUAAACCGGUUUGGAUAGCGGCGUCCAGGUGAGCAUCCGGGAUCGGACAUUGUGGAGCUGCGGCUAAAUAGACCGUUUUUGCCUGUGCGUUGUGUCCGUUGAGUGACCUGGCGAGCUCAUCAUAGAACUGCGCACCACCCGCCUCAAUGUCGAAAUCAACGCCGUCCAAAACCGCGUCCCCAAGCGGGCGCGAAGCGGACUGACCACCUAAGAAGUUGUUCCAGAUGUAAUCAGCAACUUGCCUUGCAUCAUCAGCUGAAGUGAGAGAGUAACUUCCGGCGCCCCCUCCAAUCGAGAGGAGGACUUUUAUGUUUUUUGAUUGGCAGGUUCUGAUGUCAGCACUCAGCCCCGUGCAAGUACCACUAGGGGGGUCGCAGUGGCCGGCGAGGUUUAGGACAGGGGUUUGGUUGUUUCCGAAAGUAGUGAGGAAAGCUAUGUUAACAAACUGGUAGUUGCCUGAGUUGCAAGCAUCUGCUAGGGUUCCUUCGUUGCCGUUUUGGCCCCAAUAGAUCGCAAUUCCGGCGGCUUGGGAGGACUUGCAUGAAGAAAUGAGGAUCAAGAGGGACAGAGUUAGGGUUAGGGUUUGUGUUUUGGAUGCCAUUUUUGUAUGUGUUUUUUUGGGUUGUUGCUCAAAGUGCUUGGGAGGGGACAUGUACUUAUAGGUGGAGACUUACUGGUUAAGGUUUAGGGGAAGAAAAAUAUGACACACGAGUUCUGCUUGUAAGAAAUGGAUGCCAGUCUUCUGCUUGUCAAUCAAGUUAGCUAGGGCCUGUUUGGUCGAAGUUUCACAUGAAACGUCGAUUAAGUUAGGUCGGGUUGGAAAUGCUUUCUUCAAAAACCACUUACACACGUAAGCUCUUCUUAUAUUUUUCAUAAUAAUGCAAGUGCUUUUGGAAAAAACACGAGAGGUGUUUCGCAUGUGUUUUUUUCAAAAAGCACUUCAAAUAUUUUUUCUACCUAAAAAUCCAUUAAAGCUCCUUUACUUGUUUUAAAGAAACUUCCAAAAUAAUAUUUAAAGAAAAAUUACUUCUAGAGAGAAUUAUAACAUGCUAAUUGAGAGAUCCCGAAACUAGAAACUAGAUGGUUAUAGUGAAGCGUGACCUUAACUGCUUAAUUAGGUGAAAAAAGCCAUCAAAUUUGACAAAAAGUCUGAUGAAAGGUCAUAGCUGUAUGCAUAAUCCGUAGAUGAGAUAAUCAUGAAACAAUACGUGGGGAAUCAACACAGCCUUAUCAUCGUCAAAAAAUUUUAGUGUUCUAGAAACACGAUCUGAUAUACAAAAUGUUUUAACAUCAAUUGAACGUUUUGGAAAUUUGUGGAUAGAAACCAAAUGGAAUAUGCUUGCUAGCUGCUAUAUACAUCUUGGAUUUUAGCUGAGGUGGCCAUUGGCCAAGGACUGCGAUCUAAUCACGAUGCUUUAAUUUCGCAGUACGAAAAAAAUUUCAGAUAAAAUUUAGAACAUGUUUAGGGAGUGCUUUCAAAUCACUGAAAGCGAUUUUAGAAAGAAAAAAAAUGUUUAUACAACUAAUUUUUAAUAAAAAUGCAAGUUAAUUCUCUAAAAGUAUUGAAAUUAGUGCUUCUUUGAUGAAUUACUUUAAGUGCUUUUGGAGCUCAAAAAUAUUUUCUCAAGUGGUUUCAGUUAUUUAAAAACACUUUCUAAACGAGUUAAUGACUCGUGUAUGGCAACAUUUAGCAAGUAAUAGCUCUCAUGAAUUGGAUUGUGGUGAUGUGAAAAUGGGUUUGGGUAAGUUUAGUUUAGAUCAGUCACCAGUGUAUAAAAUAUCCAUGAAAUUGUCGAUAUUUUCAUCAAAAUAUCCUUAAAAUUUAGGGUCCAUAAGGAAAAGAAGGGUAAAAUAUAAAUUUCAACCUAUAUUGGCGAGAUAUAAGAAAACAAUGAAUAUCGACAAUAUUUACCAAUUAACUACAAAAUGUUGCUAAAACCUAUUGCAGAUUUUGAACUUUAGAAUUUUUUUUUUAUAAAUUUUUUCUUUAAUUUCGACUAAAUCUGAAUGAGUUGAUACUUGAUAUGCUUAUCCCAUUGUAAAUUUCCAUCAAAGACUUUCCAACUAAAUCGAUAUUUUAAACAUUGGUUUAGACCCACAUGUUUAAUAUCCAGUGCAUGCAAAUAGAAUGUCAAAUCUUUCAGAAAAACUUCAGUAGGACUGCCACUUAAGGGCAACUAGCAUAUUAAAGAGACCAAUGCAAGGUUGGAUGAGACUAAAAUACAUAAGAGCAAUUCCACCGGGGACCAAAUGUCCCAGCCUCCAGUCCAAAAACCAAGCCAGGCCUCUGUCAAUCAAGUCCACCCCAACAAACUGACUGGUACCCAGCCCGAGUUGGGCAAGAGCCCAGCCCAAAAGAGACUGAGACAGAAGCCGGGGAAGAAGCCUGGCGCGUGCACUUCACGUAGCCGUUUGGCGAGUGCCCGACAAGCUUUCAGACGCCGGGGCCCGCGUGCAGGCGCUGUCAGUCCCCCCCCCGAGUUGCGACGUGGCUACCUCUCUGCCGUUGGAUUUCCAACGGCUAGUUUUCUAGACCGUUGGAUUUCCAACGGUAAAAAAAUUUUAAAUUUUACUUUUAAACUAGACCGUCGGAUCAAAGAUCAACGGUCCACGUUUUUUUCACAAAAAGUAAAUUAAAAAAAAAAAAAAAGGGCCCAACGGUCAGAAAUAUGACCGUUGGCCACGUGGCAACUCCCUAGCUCUUGGAUUUGAAUAUUUUUCAAAUCCAACGGUCCAGAUUAAUUAACUAUAUUAAAAUUCAUUAAAAAUUAUUAAAAAAUACAGAAAAAUUAUUAAAAAAUACAGAAAAUUUUAAAAAAAUUACAGAAAAUUUUGAAAAAUGUUAAUUUUUUUUCCUAUAAAUACCUAACCCUCAUCUUCUACCUUUACACCACAUUCCAAUAUUUUCUACACUUUCUAUACUAUCUACAUUUCAAAAUAUUUUCUACACUUUAAGAGAAAAAAAAUGUCUUCGUGGAAGCUCAUUGAAGAUGUUACGUUGUGUGAAUGUUGGGUUCACACUACUCAUGAUCCGAUUACGGGUAAUGAGAUGGAUAAGCGAGAGAUGUGGAGUAAAAUUACGAAAGCGUUUUGUGAUGUACAUGGAGAAAACGCCAGAACUAGUCAAGGUCUUCAAGGUCGUUGGAAAAAACUCAAUGCAUCAUUUACUUGUUGGAAAAACGCCAUCUCUCAUGCUUCCGGUAACCUCCGUAGUGGGACAAGUUUAGCGGAUCAGGUGACAAUAUUUUUUAUUUAUUUAUAUGCAUUCCACUCACAUUAAUAUUUUGAUUUAUUUAAUUUCGUAUGUAAUUUUUAUCUUAUUUCUUAUGUAAUUUUUAUUUAAUUUCUUAUGUAAUUUUUAUUUAAUUUCUUAUGUCAUUUUUAUGUAAUUUAUAUGCAUUCCACCCGUAUUAAUAUUUUGAAUUUAUUUAUUUGUGUUACACCCGCAUUUUUUAACACUAUGUUAUCCCACUUUUUUAUAGACACUACAAGCUCAAGCAUUCUACAAUUCAAAGAACGGGAACAAAUCAUUCAAUAGAUUGGAAUGUUGGCAAAUUGUCAAAGAUUGCCCUAAAUACAAAAUUGUGGCAACUGGUCCAGAAGUUGUCAUGCACGGUAUGGGUCUACAUAGUUCUCCAGAACCAGACAUGGCCGAACAAGAAGCCGACACAUUUCAAGACACGGAAGGGACGGCUGAACAAGUGCCCGAGACCCAACCGACUCGUCAGUCCCUAAGGCCUCUAGGUAAAAAGGCGUCAAAGAAAAAAGGUAGUUCUUCCAAAAAAUGACUACACUAAAUAUAUGGAGGAACUUGCUCGCCAAGGUGAACUAAACUUGGCACGAGAAAAGGCUAGAGAUGAGGAAAAAGUUGCUGCUAUGGCAGCAAUAUUAGCAGCUACUGAGGCCCGUGAUGCGGCGGCUGAAAGACAAAGAGAAGUAGUUAAUCGAGAGAACGAGCUGGUUAGAGAAGCACUUCAUCGAGAAAAUGAAUUGCUUCGAGAAGAAAGGAUGGCUCAAGCAUCGUGAUCGUGACACUAUGAGCAAGUCUCUAGUAGGACUGUCUCCGAAUUCUAAAUAUUUUUUAGACAUCGGAAAAAGAGAUGCCAUGCGUAGGAGGCGUGCAAGAGAUGCGGAAACAAGUCAAGGGGGUUCUAGCUACACAAAUCAUGGCAACCAAGAUCCUAGCACCACAUAUCCUAACUCGAGAGACUUUAUUUAAUUUCUUAUGUAUUUUUAUGUAUUUUCUUUCUUUUUUCUAGUAGAACUUUAUUUAAUUUCUUAUGUUUUUUCUUUUUUUUAGGUUUGAACUUUAUUUAUUUUCUUAUGCAAUUUUAAUGUAAUUAUUUAUUUAAUUUCUUUUGUACUUUAUUUAAAACACAUGAAAUAAGAUUACACAUAAACUCACCAAAUAAAUUUAAAAACAAAACACAUUACAUAGAAUUACAUAAACUCACCAAAUAAACUUAAAAACAAAACACACUACAUAGAAUUACAUAAACUCACCAAAUAAACUUAAAAACAAAACACACUACAUAGAAUUACUUAAACUUAAAAAAAAAUACAAUUUAUUCUUCAACCACAAGCCUCAUUCUAAUUAUCUUCGCCUCCAUGCAAUCCCCACUGGUGCUCAAUCAAGUCAUUCUGGCGGGUUACGUGCCAGUAUGGCUCUUGCACAUUAGUGUACCGCUGAACGAUCAAUUCAUUGUAACGUCCAUCACGUUCCAACGGCUCGUGUUGCACUGGAUCUUCGGUCCCAUCAUGAGCACAAUAAAUACGUGUUCUUGAGUUGUUCAUCGGAUCUGGCUCAUAUUCAUCGACGGCAUCAUAAUCAUACUCAUCUUCAACAAUCAUGUUAUGGAGAAUAAUACACGUCAUCAUGAUGGAUCGAAGAGCCUCGACAUCAAACAUUCUAGCUGCAGCCCUGACAAUCGCCCAACGAGCUUGCAGGAUACCAAAACAACGCUCGACAUCCUUCCUACACCCUUCUUGACAUUUUGCAAAGUGUUUUUCCUUUUCAGUCUGUGGAUGUGGCACUGUUUUGACAAAUGUUGACCACCUUGGGUAAAUGCCAUCUGCAAGGUAGUAUGAUCCCUCGUAUUGGGUACCAUUAACCCAAUAUGUGCAUCUCGGCGAGUUUCCUUGCAGCAGUUCGUCGAACACUGGGGAUUGGGCAAGGACAUUUAGGUCAUUUUGAGCUCCUGGAACACCAAAAAAAGCAUGCCAAAUCCAUGUAUCAAAUGAAGCCACCGCUUCCAAAAUGAUGCUUUUGGCUCCUUUUCUGUCGCCAUAUGCUCCUUGCCACGCACUUGGACAGUUUUUUCCAAGUCCAGUGCAUGCAGUCGAUGCUUCCAAUCAUGCCAGGGAAGCCUCGCAUCUCACCCUUCCUCAGAAGCCUUCGCAUGUCCCUUGACGUGGGUGUCCGGAGGUACUCUUUGGUGUAGAGGGCUUCAAUUGCAGAGCAAAACCGCAUCAGGGACUCCAGAACAGUUGUUUUUCCCAUCCUCGCGAUCUCAUCCACUUGAUCUGCAGAUGCUCCAUAUGCAAGCAUUCGCAAGGAUGCCGUAAUUUUUUGCUCGGGAAUAAGACCUAGAACAUGAAAAGCAUCCUCUUUUUGCACAAAGUAUGAAUCAUUGUUGCAAAUAUCACUCAUGAUUUUGUUGAACAAAUGUCGUUGCAUUCUAAAACGCCGUCUAAACAUGAUCAGGGAAUAUGCUAUUGGGAAUAAAAUAGUCUUCCAAUAGAUUUUUACCUCGUUUUUCCCUUUUUCUAUCGAGGUUUGCAACACGUCUUGGUUUGGCUAUCUGACCCACGGCUUCCAUGACACGGCGGGAAUGUGAGGCCUUCUGCCUUCUAUGGUGAUCAUCCUCAUCCUCCUCCAUGAAGAAAGCCUCAUCUCCACCUCCACCUUCCUCGAGAUUGGCCAAUUCUGCCUGUUGUGCCAACAACCUUUGUUGUUGCUCUUGCAACUGCUUAUACACCCUUCUUGAAGAAGACAUUGUAAUAAGAACUCAAGAUUUGAAAAUGAUGAACAAGGAUUCUGAGCUAAAAAGAAGGAUUGAGCUUGGUGUGAGGAUGGAUGUAGGGAUGUAGGGUUUAUAUGGACAAAAAAAGAAAGGAUGAGGUUCUGGACAAUGCCACGUGGCACUACGUGAUUGGUUGAAAAUCUUAUCGAAAUCUUGGCUAAAUUAUUGUAAACCGGAAGUGACACGUGGCGUGUCAGGAUUGGUCGAGAAUAUUAUCGAAAAUCUAUCCACAAAAUAGUACGUUCGGAUAAUGACACGUGGCAUGACGUGAUUGGUUGAAAAUCUUAUCGAAAUCUUGGCUAAAUUAUUGUACCAUGGAAGUGACACGUGGCGUGUCGGGAUUGGUUGAAAAUAAUAUCGGAAAUCUAUUCACAAAAUAGUACGUUCAGAUAAUGACACGUGGCGUGACGAGAUUGGUUAAAAAUCCUAUCCGAAAUUAAAACUAUUUUAUUUUUUUAUUCUUUAUUUUAAAUGGGUUAAAAAUCUUAUCCGAAAUAAACUUAAAAAAAAAACACACCAAAUAAAUGCGCUGGGUGCUAGCGCAUUUUUUUAGGGGUGGAGAUGCCUUGGCCUAUUACUGUUCACUCCAGUCUAUUACUGUUCAUUUGAGUGGAUAAAUGCGCUGGGUGCUGGCGCAAAGUCCACAGGGGUGGAAUUGCUCUAAAGUCUCGUGUUUUGAUGAGAUGUGGUCUACAAAUGAUAUAGCAUGUGCCCUACGAAAAAUGAGAUCGGAUUACCUAUUUGAAGCUUCUCUAGUAUGAAAAAUUCAAGAGGGAUGUGACGGGUCCGGAAAAUAAAAAAUCACACAUUUUUAUUAAUAAUUUUUUUGUUCGAAUUCGGAAAUGUAUAGAACUGAACAAAUGGAAUAGUAGCUCAGUGAUACCAACAAUUUCAUGUUGCAAAUCACAAAACAAAAAAAAAGGAACUGUUUUACACAAAAUUAAUGACAAUUAGAGUUGAACAACAGAAGCUUGCACUUUAAACGGUUUUUUUCUGCUGCUUUUGGUAUGUAUAUGCUUUUUCCAUGUCUCGAUGUAGUGCCAGUUCACAGGUCAUCAUCCUGGAACAAUGCUUUCGAAACAGAGCCGCACGGCUGGCUACUGUAUUCUCGGUAAUCUUCAUCGUCAUCCCAGCUGCGUUGCGAGCAUGAACGUUUGAUUCCUGUCAUUGGGGUUUCACAUACUCUGUCAUCACAUGAACCUCUAUGAUCCUUCCUUUUAAACAGCUUUCGAAGCGGAUUUAACUUUGGUUUCAAUGGUUUCAGCUGUUUUGGGGCCCAAACUCUCUGCAGAUCGGGCAUCCAUCUUGUGGAUGAAGCGAAUCUCCAAGCCCUCUCUCUCCUCUCUUGAGCUUCAAGUAACUUGCGAGCAUGGUCGUCGUUUUGUUUGAUCUCUUCAGCGCUCGGUCUUCCAAUAUCAGUUUUCAGCGGACGAAGAGACUCACCUUCUGCUGAUAAUGAGUCCCAGAUUCUAUAACUUUCAUCCACUUCGACACUCUUUGGUUUUUCUUUACAGGAUUGAUUGCUAUCCUCACUGUUGAGUAAACUAAUAGGGAGUUCUUCCUCAUCGGCAAACAGUAGCAAAUCCAUUUUUGUAUAGAUUUUGUGAACCACAUCUUCAAGUGUCUCACAGUACCUGAAAAUGUCCAAAUUCAAAGAUUAAUCUACCUGCUUAAUUCUCCAUCUCAAACAAAAAUUGAUCACCUGCAUUUGUACAUCAGGAAACUAAAUGCAGGAAUGAAUUAUUUAAGCUCCAUCAUUUCAAGGAUCAUACCGUAGGCUAAUAUGCUAUUGCAGAAGUUGUAUAAACAUAUUCCUCACUCGUUCAGAAAAACAUGCCUACGAUGUGCGGAUAACUGGCUUAUACCCUGUAAAUCUACACUAAUAAGGAAACACACUUAACUCAUCUAAGAUUAUAAAGAUAAUCACUUUCCUUUUUUAGCAUUAUUGCAAAGGUAAGUAGGAGAGCAUUGGAUGGGCAGUAAUAUCCCACAGGAAAGUGGAAACAGUGGCACCGGAAAUGUGUAUUUGAUGAGACAUGAACGGUAGACUGAAUGAGUGUCGAGAAAGCCAUAACGACUCGGUAAAACAUCCAUUAUAUAAAGUAAAGAAUAAUGCGAAAGGCAGGGGUUUUCAACUCUGGUACAGAUUUAUUACCUGCUUUUUAUGAUCCUUUCAACAUAAUCAUCUACACUCCAGUCACCAAAGAAGCCCUCCAGAUGACAUCGAAUUUUCUCCAAAAACGAGCAAAUCUGUUUUACAAACUUCUGUUUCAUAGAUUCUGCAAUACUUGCACCAACCUCUGAUUGUAGUAUCUCCAUACGGAAAAAUAUCUGCAAUUCAUAUCUAGUACUAGGUGAAGGAAAAGUGUAAAUGUAAUUGGAGACAAAUUUUCAUAUUGGUAGAGUUAUAACUGGAUUAAUGCAUAAUACAGAAGACAGUUCAGUUAUAAAUGAGAAAGGAUACUCUCGAACUAUUUUUCCAGAAGUCAGUCCUUCAGAUUCUGAAUCGGAUGCUUUAACAAACGGGCCGGAGCUUUUCUGCCUUGCAGUGAUAUCCUUGGGAUCUCUCAGUAGAAGUUUUAACACCUCAGCAGAAACCAAAUCAUCAGUAGCACCAGAUUUUACAAGGGAAGUUUGACUCUCUGAAAGGGCUUCUGUUUCCUGCUUUUUAUUUAACCAAUAUAUGGAUGAAUUCACAAGCCGAUAUGCCAAUGCCCCCAAGUCUACUGCUUCAUAUUCAAGCCCCUGUUGUAUCUUGUUGGAUAGACUACUGAAAAAAUCUUCCGACGUUUCUGAUCUAAAUUCCAAAGCAGCUUCAUCUUGUAUGCCAGAAGCCACAGUCAAAGAAUUUUCUCCAAUGGAAGGAGAUGAAGAAAUUGGCUGUUCACUUUCAUGGUGCAAGUUAUCCAACCUAUUGUCCAUCCCUUUUCUAUUGAGCUGGUCUGCCUGGGAUUCUUUCUCCACUAUUAGACCACGAUCGCUAGACUUCUUAAUUUGUUUCAUCCAGCAUUUCAGAAAUCGUAUCUUUUUUGAGUUAUAACAUUCCCUGGCAAAGUAAACCUCUUCCAAACCUAUCUCUGAGUGUUCAAAUGCUGCCUUGUAGAAGGCACUCCAUGUGAGAUCUUGUAGCAACUGUGAAUUUCUUUUGUUAUUUCUCUUCCUUCCCUCCUUGCCUGCAGAAUGCUUAUUGGAUGGCCCAGUUUGGUCCAAAUCAGCAUUCGGUUCGCAAAUCCCAUUCUUCAUAUUUCGACUUGAUUGGUCUGCUUUUGCUCCACCAAUAUCAUGCACUUUUGUCUGAGGGUGAAAUCCUUCAUCCACAAUAAACAGCCGAGCCGAAGAAACUGUGAAAGGUUUGAGAAUUCCGGUAGACGAUACACCACUGUCACUUGAAAGAGACACUAAUGCUCCAUGACCAUUCCUAUAUAAGAAACUCAAGAGAAUCUGCCAAAUGGGUGCUGACUUUCUCUUUGCAUUCUCACCCAAGUCCACUGCUACCACUUCUAGAACCUUAUCUGCAUAAUAAUUGCCAGAACUUUCUUUUCCAUCUUCACCAGGUUUUCCCAAAACAUCACAGACAAGGACUGGAUCAGAUAAGUGCCCCUUGAAUUUCAGAAACUCAUUGUACUUUUGCAAAGCCUUAACCUGGAACUUUGUCACGCCUUUGACAAAAUACCCCCAGAACAAUUCCUUCAGUUUACCACCCUUUGUUUGUGAAUUCAUGAUUUCUAGGGAAAAGAAAGCAUCAUCAGCUGCAUUUCUAGGCAACUUCUUCAAAUCAACCAAUUGAAGAUCACAAACCUUGCAUUCCAAAGGCUUCCCACUUACAUCUAAGAUCUCGAGACUCAACUGCGCAUUGACUUUCUUAUGACUAUCAUCACAACCGAAAAACUUGGAUGAAAUCCCUAUCUCGGGAUAAAUCAAACCAAAGGAAACAAGAGCAGAGCCAAGAAUAAUCCAACCAGUCGAGCAAAAUCCCCAUCCCAAACUCCUAACCCCACUCUCGAAAAACCCAAAUCUCGUCUUAUCCUCAUCGUUCCCAACCUUACCCUCACCACAUUCUAAUUCAUACCUGACAUCAACCCAGCUACACUGAAUAUCUCUACUCACAAAUGCUUCAUUCACAUUCUCAAAGAAACCCCUAAAUCUCUCGGAAAACGCUUUCACAUUUUCCAAAGACUCGUCACCCACACCCACUGUUAGGUCACAACUUCUAAAUUCCCUUUCUCGACCUGCUAGUAGCUGAUAGUAAUGGCGGUGAGUGAGUGGGAAGGAAGAUAGAGAGAGAUAGAAAGUUUCUUGUAAUAUUGUUUUUCUAAUUCAAUCCUGCAGAACAAUGCCACAAUUUGGUUCUUAUACAACCAUCCUUCUCACAAUGCCAGCUGGCUACUAACAAUAACGACAUGUAGCUAAAUAGUUUUCCACUAUUAUUCUAACCACUAUUAUAAUCAUAACACUACCCCUCCCUUACAAAAUAAACCUUGUCCUCAAGGUUAGAAUUAAAGACUGAAAUCAGGAAAUCUGGCAGCAAACUCGUCAUAAUCCUCCCAUGUAGUUUCGUCCUCUUUGUUGUUCUUCCACUGGAUUAACAACUGAACUCCAGCAGCUUGGCCCUUCUUGUAGACCCUCAUUUGUAGCACCUUGAGUGGUUCGAGUGGUAGCAACCCAUCAUCAGUGACAGUAGGCAAGAAUGGAGUUAUGUGACCUUGUCUCCCAAGUGCUUCUUCAAGCAACUAACAUGAAAGACUGGAUGAAUUUUUGAAUUCUCAGGCAGUUUCAAUCGGUAGGCAACCUUCCCAAUAUUUUCCAAAACCUCAUAAGGACCAUAGUACCGGGGAUGAAGCUUAUGGUAAGCAUGAGAUGACAAAGAUUGCAAUUGAUAGGGAAUUAAUUUCAAAUACACCAAAUCUCCUUCCUCGAAAACCCUCUCACUCCGAUGCUUAUCUGCUUGUGUUUUCAUCCGGUUCUGAGCUACUAGUAAAUUGGUCCUGAGCAUUGCUAAUAUUUUGUCCCUAGUUAGCAGCCCUUGCUCCACUAUAUCCAACUUAGCAGUGCCAAGCUCAUAAGACGCGAUGUGUGGUGGUGGAUAACCAUAGACCACUUCGAAGGGGGUGAACUUUGAGGAAGUGUGGUAGGAAGUGUUAUAGCUCCAUUCUGCCCAUGGAAGCCAGUGGAGCCACUUCUUAGGUUGACAGCUAGUGAAGCAUCGCAAGUAAGUUUCAAGGCACCGAUUCACCACCUCUGUCUGGCCAUCACUCUGUGGAUGGUAACCCGAGCUCAUACACAACUUGGAGCCUUGCAACUUAAAAAAAUUCUUUCCAAAAAACACUCAUGAAAAUGGUGUCCCUGUCACUCACAAUGGUAGAGGGCAUCCCAUGGAGUUUAAACACAUUAUCAACAUAUUCCUGAGCUACCAUGCUUGCCGUAUACGGAUGUGCUAAGGGGAUGAAAUGAGCAUACUUGGACAGCCUGUCUACGAUUACCAGGAUCACUGAUUUGCCUUUGCACAGAGGUAAACCAGUGAUGAAAUCCAUGCUUAUAUCCUUCCAUACAUGUGUAGGGAUCGGCAGAGGUUGAAGUAAUCCGGGAGGGGAAAUGGUUUCAUACUUAUUUUGCUGGCAUUCCCGACAUUCAGCCACCCAUGACCUGAGAUCUUUCUUCAUUCCUACCCAAUAGAAGCCCCUCUUCAAUAUCUGAUAAGUCUUUAGAACCCCUUUCAUGGCCUGCACUUGGAGAAGAGUGAUGUUCCUCAAAGACCUUCCUUUUCCAACUUGAAUCUGGGCUAAGCACGAUCCGUCCUUUGUAUUUGAGGAAACCGUUGUCUAAAUGGUACUUGGACAGAUUGGGGUCAAUUGCAGCAGCUUAAGAAUAUGCUAACACCUUCUGCACCUUGCUUUGAAUCCAACUAUCUUGUUCUAACCCUCUCCGAAGUUCAUCUAGCCACCCGAAGUAGGGGUAUGUGAUAGCUUUGCACUCCAAUAAGUCACUGAGAGGUUUCUCUUGUAAUUGAGACGAACCAACUACUCGAGAUAAGGCAUCAGCCAUUAUGUUGUCAUUGCCUUGCCUAUAUUGUAUCUCAUAAUCAAAUCCCAACAACUUGGCCACCCAUUUCUGUUGGAACGGGGUAGUAGUUCUUUGACUCAGAAAGUAUUUCAAGCUGCUAUGAUCUGUCUUUAUGAUGAAAUGGCGCCCUUGAAGGUAGUUUUGCCAUUUUUUGAUAGCACUAACAAUGGCAAUCAACUCUCUUUCGUAUGUAGACAAUGCUUAAUUCCGUGGUCCCAAUGCUUGACUUGUGAAAGCUAUAGGUCUGCCAUUCUGUUGCAACACAGCCCCUAUUCCAUUGCCAGAUGCAUCACAUUCCAAAGUGAAGGGAAUAGCAAAAUUGGGUAAGGCUAAUAGCUGCGGAGAAGUCAUUGUUCUUUUUAAUGCUUGGAAAGCUGCCGUGGCUUCAGGGGACCAAUUGAAACCAUCAUUUUUUGUUAGUUGAUACAAGGGUUGACACACCUUGCCAUAACCGGGGAUGAAUUUUCUAUAAUACCCUGAGAGCCCGAGAAAUCCCCUCAACUCUUUGACAUUUUUCGGUAUCGGCCAAUCUAUAAUUGCUUGAAUUUUAGUAGGAUCUGCAGCCACCCCAUCACGAGAGACGAUGUGCCCCAAGUAUUCCACCUGUGAUUGGCCAAAAGAGCAUUUCGAUUUCUUCACUGCUAAUUGGUGUUUCUGUAAUAACUCCAAAGUUUGGUGCAAGUGUGAAAGAUGGUCCUCCCAGGUCUUGCUGUACACCAAAAUGUCGUCAAAGAACACCAAGAUGAAUUUCCGGAGGUAAGGCUUAAAAAUGUCAUUCAUAAGGGCUUGGAAAGUGGCAGGAGCAUUUGUAAGACCAAAGGGCAUGACUAAGAAUUCAUAAUGCCCUUGGUGAGUUCGGAAGGCAGUCUUUUCCACAUCGGAGGGACAUACGGAUCUGAUGAUAUCCAGACCUAAGAUCAAGCUUAGAAAAAUACUGAGCGCCAUGCAAUUCAUCUAACAAAUCAUCCACUAAUGGAAUAGGAUAUUUAUCCUUAAUGGUAAUGCUGUUCAAUUCACGAUAGUCCAUGCAAAGCCUCCAAGUGCCCUCCUUCUUCUUGACCAAGAGAACUGGAAAUGAAAAGGGACUAUGACUUGGCUGGAUGAAUCCAGCAUCUAAAAGUUCUUGCACAGCUCGUUCAAUCUCAGUUUUUUGCAUAGGACCAUAAUGGUAUGGUCUAAUACUCGGAGGCUUGGAACCAGGAAGCAAUGGAAUCUGGUGAUCAUGAGCCCGUGGAGGUGGUAAGGUAGUAGGAGGCUUAAAAACCGUUUCAAAUUGCCUGAGCAUACCCUGCAGCUCAAUGAGUUGCUGGGGAUUCAAGUUGGAUGCCUCCAACGGAUUAGUUUCCAUUGAAUACAAUAAGACGCCCCAAUUAGAGUAUUUAAACUCUUUUUCAAGCUGUUGACAAACAGUAUCCUGUACCAAGUACGCUGGAGCAGUGGAAUGAACAAGUUUAUAGUGGUCUUUUCCCACAGAAAAUUCCAUGGUUAAGUUGUGAAAAUCCCACAAAACUGGACUCACAGAUGAGAGCCAUUUCACACCCAAUACAACAUCGCAACCCCCUAGAGGAAGUGCGUAGAGGUUAGUGUGGCAGCGAUAUGCACCCAAUUCCAAGGGAAUUUGUUGGCAACAGCCUUGACUUCGGACUUUACCCCCAUCGGCAAUCAUGACAUCGAAGGGUUUGGUGGUGUGACAAGGCCACCCGAGCUGCUUAAGCAACCUAGAAUCCACAAAAUUGUGGGUGCUACCAGAGUCAAGUAGUAUGGUAACAGGUAGAGUGUGAAGCACACCAGCCACUUUCAUGGUUUGUACCGUGGAGGGCUCAGUAGUGCCAUAGAACGCACAAGCACUCAACUCCAUGCUUGAUAGGGAAAGAUCAAUAGGCUCCAGUAAUUCACACUCUGUAGGUUCCAGCAAUUCACACUCGGUAGGCUCCAACUCAUUACAAACAUCAAGCAUAAGGAGCUGUUUAUUAUGGACACAUUUGUGCCCUCGAACCCACUUUUCAUUACAGAACCAACACUCGCCCUUGUCCUUCUUCCGUUGAACUUCCUCGGGGGUAAGUUUCUUAUAAGGGAGGGUUUGAGGAUGAGGCCUGGUAAGGGAAGGUAGAGGUAAGGCGAGAGGAGGUUUGAGUGGGGGAUGAGGUUUUGGGGGAGAUGGUUUCAAGUCCGUGAGUUUAGCAUUUAAUUGGGCAGCAAAGGAAAUGGCCUCAUGAACUGAGGAAGGGCGAAGCAAUUUAACAUCGUAACGCAAUUCCUUCUUGAGACCCCCCAGAAAGCAACUCUUUAAGAGAAUAGGACCAACAUCAUAGGUUCGAGUGGCAAGGCGCCGAAAUUCCACAAUAUAAUCACGAAGAGGGCCGGUUUGGCGGAGUUUGAAUAGCGACUCAGUGCAGUCCUCAAACUCCGGUGGACCAAAUUCCUGGCACAAAGCAGUCGUGAAUUCACCCCAGGUGGGAGUGGAAUGUACACAAUCGCGCCAACGAAACCAGUACAGCGGCUCAUUCUUGAAGUGGAAGGAGGCGGUCAAAACCUUCUGAUUCUCCGGAGUGUGAUAAUAAGCAAAAUAUUGUUCGGCCUUAUAGAUCCACGCUGAGGGAUCAUCACCGUCGGAGAAACGGGGAAAAUCCAGACGAUGUGACCGCUGCGGGCGAGGAGUAAAACCGCCGCCUUCAAAAGAAUCACGGCGCUGAAACCGUGGAGUGUCGAGACAACGAAAAUCGCCAUCAUCGGUCACAAUGGGAGGAGGAAUAUGUGGAUCUGGCACUAGAGGUGGUGGUGCAGUCGAAGAGCCAGCACCGCCUUGAGGACCAGGGUCGCGAUGGAGAUGCUCCAGGAGAAGGGCGAAUUUGGUUUCGAGAGCGGUGAAGCGGGUGUCGGAAUUGGCGUUGGAAGUCUGGAUCAGCUGAGGAAUGGCUCCCAUGGCUUCCAGAGUAGCUUCCACGGCGGAGAGGCGCGAUUCAACAGUGGACAUUCGAGAAUUUGUGGUGUGGCGGGGCAUACAAGAGGGAGACUCAGGAUCGAGAGGCUGAUACCAAUUGUUAGGUCAAAACUUCUAAAUUCCCUUUCUCGACCUGCUAGUAGCUGAUAGUAAUGGCGGUGAGUGAGUGGGAAGGAAAAUAGAGAGAGAUAGAAAGUUUCUUGUAAUAUUGUUUUUCUAAUUCAAUCCUGCAGAACAAUGCCACAAUUUGGUUCUUAUACAACCAUCCUUCUCACAAUGCCAGCUGGCUACUAACAAUAACGACAUGUAGCUAAAUAGUUUUCCACUAUUAUUCUAACCACUAUUAUAAUCAUAACACCCACAUUCGGGAAUUCUGUCAAACAGUUUGCAGACACACAGACGGGCGAAAACAGAACUACCAAAUUAGACCUCACAGCAACCGAAUCACUAUUCGAGAACAUACCCAUCAUUGGAUCGCAGAUCACGGGGUCCCAGGCGUAGUCGUGCACGAGCUGGCGCAAGGAGACGGCGAAAUGCGGGGAGGGAAUUGAGGGUGUGGAAGAGGGAAUUGAAAGUGGGGCCGGGGAGGUGGAAAGAGAGGGAGAGAGAAGUGGGGAGCUUGGAGGAGGAGAGCAGCGGAGAGAGGGAGGAGAAGAAGGGUCUGAAGGCGAAGAGAGAGGCGGAGAGAAGAAGGAAGGAGAGGAUGGUUUUGACGGCGGCGAGGAGGGCGGUGAGAAAUGGAGCUGGGUUUUGGAGGUGGAGGAAUGGGUUGAGGUCUAGGAGGAGGACGAUGCGCACAGUGCCUGCCUAUCAUGUAAAACCAUUGACAAUGAUACAAGACAGUUUAUUUGGACCUAUAAAACUAUAUUUAUGUAAAACUAUAUUUUAUUCAAUUUCAAAAAUUAGUACAUGCAAUGACAUGUUUGAUCGUAAAAAAAAAAAAAAUGAGAAAUUUUCAGUGUAUCAGAAAUACGAAUCGGUAAAAAAUCUCUCCAAAAAUACAUAUGCAUGUUUUAUUCAAAAGGAAAGGAAUGAGGCGCCAUCAUCCCUAACACACUUUAUUACAAGUAGUAUCAUCCAUUGAGGCAGAGAAGUUAAUUAGAUGCUGUCCUUAAUGGAUGCACUAUAACCGUUGUCAUAGAACCUGUUCCAAAGCAUAACUCCUCCGUACUUGGCCGAAUUCUUAAUUGUUGGAAGGACUUGUGACUUGAGAGCAUCAGCAGGAAUAAAUCCGCUGCGCGCGGCAUCAGUAGACGCCGGUAUCCCCAAGAACACCUGGGUGGCCGAAACCGAGGCCCAUCGGUUCCAACUGCUCAAAAGAGCGUCGGCAUUACCGUCUGCAUACUGGCAUUGGGCUAGGGGGUUGUUGUAGAACUGAACCCAAACGUAGUCAAAUAAACCGGUUGGAUAGCGCCGUCUAGGUGAGUAUCCGGGAACGGGCAUUGUGGAGCUGCGGCUAAAUAGACCGUUUUUCCCUGUCCGUUGUGUCCUUUGAGUGACCUGGCGAGCUCGUCGUAGAACUGCGUACCACCCAACUCAAUGUCGAAAUCGACGCCGUCCAAAACCGCGUCCCCAAGCGGGCGCGAAUCUGACUGACCACCUAGGAA